AGAGUUUGAUCAUGGCUCAGAAUGAACGUUGGCGGCGUGGAUUAGGCAUGCAAGUCGAGCGAGAACCCGCAAGGGGGACAGCGGCAAACGGGGUAGUAACGGGUAGGCAACGUACCCUCGGGACGGGGAUAGCCACGGGAAACUGUGGGUAAUACCCGAUAACCUCUUCUGGUUUGAUACUGGGAGAGCAAAGGUGAGAUUCCACCUGAGGAGCGGCCUGCUUCGUAUUAGCUAGUUGGUGAGGUAACGGCUCACCAAGGCGACGAUGCGUAGGGGGUGUGAGAGCAUGACCCCCACCACUGGGACUGAGAUACUGCCCAGACACCUACGGGUGGCUGCAGUCGAGAAUCUUCGGCAAUGGGCGAAAGCCUGACCGAGCGACGCCGCGUGUGGGAUGAAGGCCCUUGGGUUGUAAACCACUGUCAGAGGGGAUGAAGUGCACGCGGGUACUCCCGUGUGUUUGACAUAGCCUCAGAGGAAGCACGGGCUAAGUUCGUGCCAGCAGCCGCGGUAAUACGAACUGUGCGAACGUUAUUCGGAAUCACUGGGCUUACAGGGUGCGUAGGCGGCUUGUUAAGCAGGGUGUGAAAUCCCUCGGCUCAACCGAGGAAUUGCGCCCUGAACUGGCGAGCUUGAGUGGGACAGAGGUGUGUGGAACUUCCAGUGGAGCGGUGAAAUGUGUUGAUAUUGGAAGGAACGCCAGAGGCGAAAGCGACACACUGGGUC
rnacentral:rRNA from 1 species